CUGAUGGGUGCUCUCCUCAGGCUUCCCACGUCCCUCCCCAAUGGGCAUAUCAUACCUAGAGGCUAAACCUCUAGGAUGUUUUGAACUGAAGCUUCAGAGGGAGAGGGAAUCAGUCACUGGCUGCCUUGCUGUCCACAAUAGCAAAAGACAGCAAGGGCUCAUGGACCUACCUAUGACCUCCCCUGGAAUUCCCAGAAAUUCUUUGAGCAGAGAAGCUUUGAAAGGAAGAUCCUGUGUGAACAGAGGAGGGAGAAGAGCCUUUGAAUGGGGCACUGCACUGAAGGGGGUUACAUGUUUCCUCAGACUGCCAUAGCCUGGACACUUCGGUCCACCGAGCCAUCACACCAAAGAGGAGCAAACAGUAAAAAGUUUUAUCAUGAACACAUGAUCUUUGAAGAACAAAAUCUACUCCCUUGGCAGUGAUCAAAAAGGAAAAGUGUGGGAGUGUUUCCUUCAAAGGAGACCUUCAGUUUCCUUCUGCACACGUAGGAUCAUUAGUGGAUGGAAAGCAGGAGAAGAUACCUAGAUGGCAGAUGGCGGCGGAUAGAUGGUAUCUGUGAGCUGCUGGUUGUUGUCAAAACUCUAACAAAAUCCCUUCCCAAGGACGGGCCACAUUCCUUUUGUCUUGCUCCGAAACUAUGGAAUUGACGAUCACAAC